CCUACGGGUGGCAGCAGUGAGGAAUAUUGGUCAAUGGCCGAGAGGCUGAACCAGCCAAGUCGCGUGAGGGAAGACGGCCCUACGGGUUGUAAACCUCUUUUGUCAAGGGACAAAAUCAGGCUCGAGAGCCUGACCGAGGGUACUUGAAGAAAAAGCAUCGGCUAACUCCGUGCCAGCAGCCGCGGUAAUACGGAGGAUGCGAGCGUUAUCCGGAUUUAUUGGGUUUAAAGGGUGCGUAGGCGGACUGUUAAGUCAGCGGUAAAAGCCCGGGGCUCAACCCCGGCGAGCCGUUGAAACUGGCUGUCUUGAGAUGUCGAGAGGUAUGCGGAAUGCGCAGUGUAGCGGUGAAAUGCUUAGAUAUUGCGCAGAACUCCGAUUGCGAAGGCAGCAUACCGGCGGCGAUCUGACGCUGAGGCACGAAAGCGUGGGUAUCGAACAGGAUUAGAUACCCGAGUAGUC
rnacentral:rRNA from 1 species